CCCCUAGAUGUUCUGGGCCGCACGCGCGCUACACUGAACAGUUCAACAAGUCUUAACCUUGGCCGAUAGGUCUGGGUAAUCUUUGAACGCUGUUCGUGAUUGGGAUAGACCUUUGCAAUUAUGGGUCUUCAACGAGGAAUUCCUAGUAAACGCAAGUCAUCAGCUUGCAUUGAUUACGUCCCGCCCUUUGUACACACCGCCCGUCGCACCUACCGAUUGAAUGGUCCGGUGAAAUCUCGGGACGGCGGCUUGGUCGCUUGCGUCCGACUGCUGAAACUUGAUUAAACCAUAUCAUUUAGAGGAAGGUGAAGUCGUAACA
rnacentral:rRNA from 1 species